GCCUCGUUAUAUCAGUCGGUAGAUAGUGUGACUCUUACGCAAUUACAAGCCGAUUGAUCACACAGUCAUGGGUUCGAGCCCCAUACGAGGCU